rnacentral:rRNA from 1 species
CUAAGUUUGAUGGCGACCGGCGCACGGGUGAGUAACACGUAUCCAACCUGCCGAUGACUCGGGGAUAGCCUUUCGAAAGAAAGAUUAAUACCCGAUGGCAUAGUUCUUCCGCAUGGUGGAGCUAUUAAAGAAUUUCGGUCAUCGAUGGGGAUGCGUUCCAUUAGGUUGUUGGCGGGGUAACGGCCCACCAAGCCUUCGAUGGAUAGGGGUUCUGAGAGGAAGGUCCCCCACAUUGGAACUGAGACACGGUCCAAACUCCUACGGGAGGCAGCAUG